AAACUAGGAUUAGAUACCCUAUUAUUUUUGGAUGUUAAUGUUUUGCCUGAGUAGUACUAGUUAUGUUCUUGAAACUUAAAGAAUUUGGCGGUAUCUUAUUCCGUUCAGAGGAACCUGUCUCGUUAUCGAUAGUCCACGUUGGACCUUACUUAGUUGUUUUAUUGGUUUGUAUACCGCCGUUUAUUGAUUAUCUUUUUAGGGUUAUAUAAUUUUCUUGUUCCUCUAUUUGGUUUGAUUUCAGGUCAAGGUGCAGCUUUCUCUAAGUGUAUUGGUGGGUUACAUUGUUAUUUGGUGGUUUUGGAUUGUUGGUUUUAAUUACUGGCAUGAAAUUGGAUUUGAUUGUAAUAUUUUGAAGAUUGUUUUUAUGAUAAUUGGUUCUGAGGUAUGUACACAUCGCCCGUCGCUCUCGUUUUAUUUGUUAAUGAGAUAAGUCGUAACAUAGUA
rnacentral:rRNA from 1 species